AGCAAACUCAAGAACCCUCGAUCUCAGACAAAAUCUGGAAUCGUAGAGAGGCGUCCAUGACGAGAGCUUCGAAGCGGGAACUUUCUUCAGACGAGGCUUGCUCGUCGGAGGAGCAAGUUAACGAUCAGGUCAAUGUGGAAGAAGAUGAUGAGGAGCUCGAGGCCGUUGCUCGCUCUGCGGACUCCAACGAGGAAGAUGUUGCCCUUGACGAAGCACCUGUCUCUGACGACGAGGUUGUCCCUGCAGAAGAUGACGCCGACGAGGAAGGAGUAGACGAGGAGAAAGCUGAAAUCAGCAAACGUGAGAAGGCCAGGCUUAGAGAAAUGCAGAAGAUGAAGAAGCAGAAAAUUCAGGAAAUUUUAGACGCCCAAAAUGCUUCCAUUGAUGCAGAUAUGAACAACAAAGGAAAGGGGAGAUUGACGUAUCUUCUGCAGCAAACUGAGUUAUUUGCACAUUUUGCUAAAAGUGAACCAUCGCCGUCUCAGAAGAAGGGGAAAGGAAGGGGUCGUCAUGCUUCCAAACUAACUGAAGAAGAGGAAGAUGAAGAGUGUUUAAAGGAAGAAGAGGGUGGUGUACCUGGAUCUGGAAGCACACGAUUGCUUACACAGCCCGCUUGUAUUCAGGGGAAAAUGAGAGACUACCAAUUAGCUGGUUUAAACUGGCUCAUUCGAUUGUAUGAAAAUGGGAUAAAUGGAAUUCUUGCAGAUGAAAUGGGUCUGGGGAAGACACUUCAAACAAUUUCUUUGUUGGCUUACCUGCAUGAAUACAGGGGAAUUAGUGGCCCUCAUAUGGUAGUUGCUCCAAAAUCAACCCUUGGUAACUGGAUGAAUGAAAUUCGCCGAUUUUGUCCCGUCCUGCGUGCUGUGAAAUUCCUUGGUAAUCCUGAGGAAAGGAGAUAUAUUCGUGAUGAACUGCUAGUUGCGGGGAAGUUUGACGUUUGCGUUACAAGCUUUGAGAUGGCUAUCAAAGAGAAGACAGCCUUGCGUCGCUUUAGCUGGCGUUAUAUAAUCAUUGAUGAAGCCCAUCGAAUCAAGAAUGAGAAUUCACUCCUUUCAAAAACCAUGAGACUUUUUAGCACUAACUACCGGCUUCUUAUCACGGGAACCCCACUUCAGAAUAAUCUCCAUGAGUUGUGGGCUCUUCUCAAUUUUCUUCUGCCCGAGGUUUUUAGUUCAGCAGAGACUUUUGACGAAUGGUUUCAAAUUUCUGGUGAAAGUGACCAGCAAGAAGUUGUUCAGCAGCUUCAUAAGGUUCUCCGACCAUUUCUUCUUCGGAGGUUAAAAUCGGAUGUAGAGAAAGGCUUACCUCCAAAAAAGGAGACGAUACUCAAAGUUGGCAUGUCUCAGAUGCAAAAACAGUACUACAAGGCGUUACUGCAAAAGGAUCUUGAAGUGAUUAAUGGUGGUGGAGAACGCAAACGUCUGCUGAACAUAGCAAUGCAGUUGCGCAAAUGCUGCAACCAUCCUUAUCUCUUCCAGGGUGCAGAGCCCGGUCCCCCCUAUACCACAGGAGAUCACCUUGUAACAAAUGCAGGUAAGAUGGUUCUCUUAGAUAAAUUGCUACCUAAGUUGAAGGAACGCGAUUCCAGGGUUCUGAUAUUUUCUCAGAUGACAAGGCUUCUGGAUAUUCUUGAGGAUUAUUUAAUGUAUCGUGGUUACCAGUACUGCCGUAUUGAUGGAAAUACUGGUGGUGACGAACGAGAUGCUUCCAUAGAAGCGUACAACAAGCCAGGAAGUGAAAAAUUUGUUUUCUUGUUAUCCACUAGAGCUGGAGGGCUUGGUAUCAAUCUUGCUACUGCAGAUGUUGUGAUCCUUUAUGACAGUGACUGGAAUCCUCAAGUUGACUUGCAAGCUCAAGAUCGUGCACAUAGGAUUGGUCAAAAGAAAGAAGUUCAAGUAUUCCGGUUCUGCACCGAGAAUGCUAUUGAGGAAAAAGUGAUAGAGAGAGCUUACAAGAAGUUGGCACUUGAUGCUCUGGUAAUUCAGCAAGGGCGUUUGGCAGAACAGAAAACCGUUAAUAAGGAUGAGUUACUCCAAAUGGUGAGAUAUGGUGCCGAGAUGGUGUUUAGUUCUAAAGAUAGCACAAUUACGGAUGAGGAUGUUGACAGAAUCAUUGCCAAAGGAGAAGAGGCGAAGGCUGAACUUGAUGCGAAGAUGAAGAAAUUCACUGAAGAUGCAAUACAGUUUAAAAUGGACGACAGUGCUGACUUUUAUGAUUUUGACGAGGACAAUAAGGAUGAGAACAAGUUUGAUUUUAAGAAGAUUGUAAGUGAGAAUUGGAAUGAUCCACCAAAAAGAGAGAGAAAGCGCAACUACUCUGAAACUGAAUACUUCAAGCAAACAUUGCGCCAAGGUGCUCCAGCUAAACCUAAAGAGCCUAGAAUUCCUCGCAUGCCCCAGUUGCAUGAUUUCCAGUUCUUCAACAUUCAGAGAUUGACCGAGCUAUAUGAAAAGGAAGUGCGACACCUUAUGCAAACACAUCAGAAAACUCAGAUGAAAGACACAGUUGAAGUUGAUGAACCUGAAGAAGUUGGAGAUCCCUUAACUGCUGAAGAAGUGGAAGAAAAGGAGCAAUUGUUGGAAGAGGGUUUCUCAACAUGGAGCAGAAGAGACUUCAAUACCUUCAUUAGAUCUUGUGAGAAGUAUGGCCGGAACGACAUAAAAAGUAUUGCCUCUGAGAUGGAAGGAAAAACAGAGGAAGAGGUUGAACAAUAUGCUCAAGUUUUUAAAGAGCGAUACAAGGAGCUGAAUGAUUAUGAUAGAAUCAUCAAGAAUAUUGAGAAAGGGGAAGGAAGAAUCACUCGGAAAGAUGAAAUCAUGAAAGCUAUUGGAAAGAAACUAGAUCGCUACAGAAACCCGUGGCUGGAACUGAAGAUUCAGUAUGGACAGAACAAAGGGAAGCUGUACAAUGAAGACUGUGACCGUUUCAUGAUAUGCAUGGUCCAUAAACUUGGGUAUGGAAACUGGGAUGAGCUAAAGGCGGCUUUUCGGACAUCCCCCUCGUUCAAGUUUGACUGGUUUGUAAAAUCCCGAACAAGUCAGGAACUUGCCAGGAGAUGCGACACGCUGAUCCGGCUGAUUGAGAAAGAGAACCAAGAGUAUGAUGAGAGAGAGAGGCAAGCCCGUAAAGAAAAGAAGCUUGCAAAGAGUGCAACGCCUUCAAAGCGAGCUUUGGCUAGGCAAUCAAAUGAGAGCAAUCCAUCAUUGAAGAAACGAAAGCAGCUGUCAAUGGAUGAUUUUGUGAGCUCGGGAAAGCGUAGGAAAUAAGGAGACAUUAGUUGAAUCCAUUCGGCUUACGCAGAUUGUGGUUACUUUCCGUUUUAGAUUGUGGCUGCUUUCAGUUUUAGGUAUGAUUCCAAAUCAGAGAUUUGGUUAUAAGGCCAACCUGAUAUUUUGUAUUCACAAAUAUCCUCAACAGCAUUAUUUUUGGCUACUCUCUUUGCUCGUACGUGUAAUAUCAUUUUAACCUUUGUAGAAUCUAUAUAUGUGUAACACAUUCCUAGCUUCAGCAGUCGUUACUCUAUAAAUACUCGUUACUCUAUAAAUACAUCUCAGUUCUGCGUUUGUGAUCCCUCCUUAAAUUCUCUACAGGAGUGACAAUGGUAAGAAGCUGACUUAGAUUGUAAGACUCACUUCUUUUCUUUUUCUCUCUUUCCGAGAGACUCGAAUCCAUACACAGGAUACAUUAAAAAUAGAACAGAAAAAGAAACAUAAAAAUCGACUCAAAUUCUCCCUCCCAUUACAUAUACAACCCAUUUUGGAAAAAAAGAAAAAAAAACCCCAAAAACAUGACUUGAAAAAACCUUUUCUUUCCCCUCCUAAUCGUCCAACAUCUCUCUACUCAUCAUCUCUUCC